UACGUAGGGUGCAAGCGUUAAUCGGAAUUACUGGGCGUAAAGCGUGCGCAGGCGGUUUUGUAAGUCAGAUGUGAAAUCCCCGGGCUUAACCUGGGAACUGCGCUUGUUACUGGCAGACUGGAGUGUGGCAGAGGGGGGUGGAAUUCCAGGUGUAGCAGUGAAAUGCGUAGAUAUCUGGAGGAACACCGAUGGCGAAGGCAGCCCCCUGGGCUAACACUGACGCUGAUGCACGAAAGCGUGGGGAGCAAACAGG
rnacentral:rRNA from 1 species